rnacentral:rRNA from 1 species
GACGAACGCUGGCGGCGUGCUUAACACAUGCAAGUCGAACGGAAAGGCCCUGCUUGCAGGGUACUCGAGUGGCGAACGGGUGAGUAACACGUGGGUGAUCUGCCCUGCACUUCGGGAUAAGCCUGGGAAACUGGGUCUAAUACCGCAUAGGAGCCAUUUUUAGUGUGAUGGUUGGAAAGUUUUUUCGGUGUAGGAUGAGCUCGCGGCCUAUCAGCUUGUUGGUGGGGUAAUGGCCUACCAAGGCGGCGACGGGUAGCCGGCCUGAGAGGGUGGACGGCCACAUUGGGACUGAGAUACGGCCCAGACUCCUACGGGAGGCAGCAGUGGGGAAUAUUGCACAAUGGGCGCAAGCCUGAUGCAGCGACGCCGCGUGGGGGAUGACGGCCUUCGGGUUGUAAACUCCUUUCGCUAGGGACGAAGCUUUUGUGACGGUACCUAGAUAAGAAGCACCGGCUAACUACGUG